rnacentral:rRNA from 1 species
UACGGAGGGUGCAAGCGUUAUCCGGAUUCACUGGGUUUAAAGGGUGCGUAGGUGGGUUUGUAAGUCAGUGGUGAAAUCUCCAAGCUUAACUUGGAACUGCCGUUGAUACUAUAAAUCUUGAAUGUUGUGGAGGUGAGCGGAAUAUGUCAUGUAGCGGUGAAAUGCUUAGAUAUGAACAUAGUAACACCAAUUGCGAAAGGCAGCUACACUACA